rnacentral:rRNA from 1 species
UACGUAGGGUGCGAGCGUUAAUCGGAAUUACUGGGCGUAAAGCGUGCGCAGGCGGUUUUGUAAGCCAGAUGUGAAAUCCCCGGGCUUAACCUGGGAAUGGCAUUUGGGACUGCAAGGCUUGAGUGCGGCAGAGGAGACUGGAAUUCCUGGUGUAGCAGUGAAAUGCGUAGAUAUCAGGAGGAACACCGAUGGCGAAGGCAGGUCUCUGGGCCGUAACUGACGCUGAGGAGCGAAAGCAUGGGGAGCGAACAGG